AUGAUCAUCUACUGGGACCUCAUCAGCCAUAAUGAGAUGUCCUCUGACAUCUACAAGAUCUGGGAGAUCGCAGGUGGGCUGUGCCAGGAGGUGGAGGUGAAGGUGGUCAGCAGGACAGAGGGUAACACUGAUGACUUGCUCAUUGGUGGAAAUGCCUCCACUGAUAGCUGGAAGGCAAAGAUACAGAAAUCACAGUCAUCCCUGGUGUGUUAUUGUCAUGAACCAUCACUUGCAGGAAACCAGCUUCACAAAGGAAGCCUGUAAGAAGUACAUUAAAGAUUAUAUUAAAUCAAUCAAAGGCAAACUUGAGGAACAGAGCCCAGAAAGAGUAAACCCUUUUAUGACAGGAGCUGCAGAACACAUCAAGCACAUCUUUGCUAAUUUCAAAAACUACAAAUUCUUUAUUGGUAAAAACAUGAAUCCAGAUGGCCUGGCUGCUCUGCUGGACUACUGUGAGGGUGGUAUGACCCCAUAUAGGAUUCUUGUUAAGGAUGGUUUAGAAAUGGAGAAAUGUUAAUGAACUUGGCUAUGACUCUAGAUGUAUCACCUGUUGCCAUAACUGGCUCUGCUCUUCAUCUGCACAGCACCAGGACUUAGACAAAUGGGACUGAUGUCAUCUUGAGCUCUUCGUUUAUUUUGACCCUGAUUUAUUUGGAGCAGAGGCAUUGUUUCUAAGAAAAAACAUGUCAUGUAGGCUGUCUAAAAUUAAAAUGCAUUUAAGCU